rnacentral:tRNA from 1 species
ACUCAGAUAGUUUAAGAAAAAUGUUAGCUUGUGGCGCUUAAGAUGUAAAUUUUACUUUGAGUA